UGACAAAAAAAAAAAAAAAAAAAAGAAAAUUAAAAUAAGCCCUGCAUCAGAUGUGGAAAAAUAUUCAUGCCGCAAUUGGGUUUGCAUAGUCAUGUGAAACAUUGCACUCAUCCGUAAUCUUUGGAUUUAAAGAUUUUGCCAUUUUAACUAAAAAUGUAUGUCUACAUCUAUUUGAAUAUAACUUAAGUUUUUCUUAUAAAGUGACACAAAACUACAGCAAAUUUUGAAAUCCAUGCAUGCAAAAUAUAAGAUUCUUGAUUUGUGGUGUAUCAGCACUAAACAGAUUAUUUAAUGUUUCAUUUAGUCCAUUCUAAAAUAUUAAAUAUUCAUCUAGUUGAAAGAAAUUUUUAUUUAUUUAUUUUAACUUUUAAUUCAAUUUUAUUUAUUUUUUUACACUUUAUUUCAUUUUUUUUUUUAAAAUUCUU